AAGGAGCUGGCUGAAGUUCAGGAAGUAGUGCAGCUGGGUAUAAAGCCUAUUGCUACCAUUAAAAAGGUUUAACCAUAUACCACCAAAUAAAGGUUUAAAAAUAAAGUCUAAACAAUAUAUUUAUAGGCUACAUACAUUCAGGCUGGUCCAUUAUGCUACACAUUUUAAAAAUAAUUGAACCACAUCUACAAACUUAUUUUGGUGAUUUAGCCCACAAGUUACUUAAACUGGCAUGCCCAUUGUUUUUACAAUGAAUUAAAUGGCUUUUUUUACUGCGUUUGCCACAGUAUUCAAUCCUACACGUUAUUUUACUACAGUACAGUAGGCGGCGGUAUACUGUAGUGUGCAGUUCGUGUCCGCAUCGUCAUACGCGCCAGUAUUGCUGGAAGACUGCAGGAACAGAACCCCCUGGAAAGAUGAGUUCCUUAUUAAAGAAAGGCUUGAUGCUGUUUACUCCACACUCUUAGGCUGACUUUGUAUUAUUUGUCUGUGAAGACAGUUCACAGUUUCUGAAUCCCAUCAAGAAUGAAGACCUGGAGGCCACCAUAUUGAGAUGGUCCGAUGUCAUGAUAUGGCGCUUUUCCAAUGUAGGGUACAACUUGGCUCGGCACGAUGCAGCUCAGCUCGCUUUCGUUGCUUUUCCAGUACAGUUUAGUGUCGCUUCAGAGUGGGUGAGAUUAUAGGCAGGGGUGCACAUAACUGGUGCGUAUGCUCAAAUAGAAACAAUUCUAGUGUACCAACGUUGCUGGAAUUUUGUUACAUAGUUAGCUAAUUUACUUUGACAUAAGAGAUUUCUUCGUGCAUCAGUGGUAAGAUAAUUAAUGUGUGUUGUUAGCAGUGAUCCGCAUCUCAAUGCUUCAGACAGCUUGCUAGUACAAGUAUACAUUUAUAUGAGUUAGGCUAGUAGUUAUUUAUAAAGAUUAGAUAAGUAAAAAACAAUAACCAGGGUUAUUUUAUGUACAUCAUUGUCUACCAUGUUUAAACAAAAGCGAUAUGGCGAAGAGAGUAGUCAGGAGAAAAGUGAUGAUGUCAGCAUGUAGGAUGUCUGUGCUAUGAAUAGUGUGAGUACCAAGUAACAUCUCCAGGUACUUCUUUGAGAACCAGGACAAAAAAAGUUAUGUGCACCCCUGAUUAUAGCCUUAUUGUUAAAGUUGCAUCCUCUCUACUGCCGUAACAUCAUCGUAAAUGUGAUACAAACACACACACACACACAACAUGGAGCAACAGAGCAUAUUAAUGGAAUGCAGCCACAAAAUCAAAAUUGACAGCCACAAGUAGAUUUUCCACUACCUCUCUCACAUGACAGGUUCUAUACAAACACCCGUGUCAUCAGUACCUGUACUCCGCUGACAGAACAUUUACGCCUAUACUUUUGGUGCGUUUUGAAUGCGGAGCCAUGCGCAAAGUUACAAAACUGCCAUCCAGACAUGGGCGCGGUGGUGUGCUCUGCAUUUUUGUAACUUUGCACAUGGCUUCGCAUCCGAAACCCAUUACCCCUUCCCCAAAAGUGAGCUGUGCUGAACUGGGUCAUACUAUGCAAUGGAAAAGCGCCAAAAGUGUCCUACUUCCUGGCUUGAAUGAUUUAGAAUUUUCAGCGUUGGACUUGUGUUCCGCGUGUUUGGCCUCUUUAACACUUGCUGUUUGAAAGUCAUUGCUUGCAACAGAUUGAGUGAAUGUCAUUCUGCAUUUCUGUUUGCAUUGCUUUGCUUGCAUUUGAAUCC